AUUGAACGCUGGCGGCAGGCCUAACACAUGCAAGUCGAGCGGAUGAAGGGAGCUUGCUCCUGGAUUCAGCGGCGGACGGGUGAGUAAUGCCUAGGAAUCUGCCUGGUAGUGGGGGAUAACGUCCGGAAACGGGCGCUAAUACCGCAUACGUCCUGAGGGAGAAAGUGGGGGAUCUUCGGACCUCACGCUAUCAGAUGAGCCUAGGUCGGAUUAGCUAGUUGGUGGGGUAAAGGCCUACCAAGGCGACGAUCCGUAACUGGUCUGAGAGGAUGAUCAGUUACACUGGAACUGAGACACGGUCCAGACUCCUACGGGAGGCAGCAGUGGGGAAUAUUGGACAAUGGGCGAAAGCCUGAUCCAGCCAUGCCGCGUGUGUGAAGAAGGUCUUCGGAUUGUAAAGCACUUUAAGUUGGGAGGAAGGGCAGUAAGUUAAUACCUUGCUGUUUUGACGUUACCAACAGAAUAAGCACCGGCUAACUUCGCG
rnacentral:rRNA from 1 species